rnacentral:rRNA from 1 species
GAGCCCAGCACUGAAUCCCAAAGGCCUCGCCUUUAGGGAAAUGUAGUGUUUAGGAGUGCCCGUUUAACCCGGGGUCCGUGCACCGCGUUCAAGUCCAUCUUGAACGGGGCCACGGUCCGAAGAGGGUGCCAGGCCCGUAGAUGACCGGUGCCGGCCCCGGGUGGGCGCCUCCUUAGAGUCGGGCUGCUUGAGAGUGCAGCCCUAAGAGGGUGGUAAACUCCAUCUAAGGCUAAAUACAACCACGAGACCGAUAGAGAACAAGUACCGUGAGGGAAAGUUGAAAAGAACUUUGAAGAGAGAGUUCAAGAGUACGUGAAACCGCUCAGGGGUAAACGGAAAAGACCCGAAGCCCCGAAACGGGAGAUUCACGUCUUCUCGCAGGGAGCGCACCACGAAAGGGGGGAUGGCCUUUCGCCCCGCCCGGCUCGUCCGUGGCGGUGGGUGGGUCGCCCCCCACGGGGUCGCGUUCCCGCGGGGGACCGCACUUCUCCCCUAGUAGGACGUCGCGACCCGCUCCGCGGCGGUCUAGGGUCCGGAAGAUAGCCUGUCUCCUGCCUUCCGCUUCUGCGGCGGCCAAGUGACAGCUCUCCGGCACCGCGGCCGCCGGUCCGGGCGGUAUCGAAAGACUUUGGCGUUGGGCCGCUCUAAAUGCGAGCGCCGCCGUCUCCCCGCAAGACCGGGCGUUUACCAGGGGGUGCCUUAACGGACACGCCCGGCUAGGCGCUCGGGCCCCUGGCGGGAGAGCACUCCGGCACGGCCCACUCCGCCAGUCUGCGGCGCUUCAGAUUCGGGCACUUAUCCGACCCGUCUUGAAACACGGACCAAGGAGUCUAGCGUGUGCGCGAGUCAUUGGGUGUAAAACCUAAAGGCGCAAUGAAAGUGUCAGGGGUACCUCCUUUAGGGGCGUAUCCCGCUGGGAGGAUGGGCCCCCGUACGAUAUCUCGUCGGAGCCCCGCACUCCCGGGGCGUCUCGUUCUCGUUACGAGUGGAGACGCACCAGGAGCGCACACGCUGGUACCCGAAAGAUGGUGAACUAUGCCUGGCCAGGACGAAGCCAGGGGAAACCCUGGUGGAGGUCCGAAGCGGUUCUGACGUGCAAAUCGAUCGUCUGAGCUGGGUAUAGGGGCGAAAGACCAAUCGAACCAUCUAGUAGCUGGUUCCCUCUGAAGUUUCCCUCAGGAUAGCUGGCUCUCGGGAAGAGGCGAGUCUCAUCCGGUAGAGCGAAUGAUUAGAGGUGAUGGGGUCGAAACGACUUCAACCUAUUCUCAAACUCCCAAUAGGUGAGAGCCCCGGCUUGCUUAAAAGUGAAGCCGCGGGACUCGGAUCAGAGAUGCCAAGUGGGCCAAUUUUGGUAAGCAGAACUGGCGCUGUGGGAUGAACCAAACGCAGAGUUAAGGCGCCUGAUUCGACGCUCACGUGAAACCAUGAAAGGCGUUGGUUGCUUAAGACAGCAGGACGGUGGCCAUGGAAGUCGGAAUCCGCUAAGGAGUGUGUAACAACUCACCUGCCGAAGCAACUAGCCCUGAAAAUGGAUGGCGCUGUAGCGUCGUGCCUAUACUCUGCCGUCAACGGCAAAGCGGGCAGCCCCUCGCGGGGAUUCGCCGUUAAGCCUUGACGAGUAAGAGGGUCGCGGCGGUGUGCGCGGAAGGGUCUGGGCGUGAGCCCGCCUGGAGCCGCCGCCGGUGCAGAUCUUGGUGGUAGUAGCAAAUACUCCAGCGAGGCCCUGGAGGACUGAUGUGGAGAAGGGUUUCUUGUGAACAGCUGUUGCACAAGAGUCAGUCGAUCCUAAGCCCUAGGAGAAAUCCGAAGAGAAUGGCUGCCGUUAUUGUUACCAUGUCGCAAUCGGCGUACCGCGGUUAAACCGGGGCCGCGUCCCACGCUUCAGGCCGGAGACGGUCUGGGGGCGUCGGGACGCGCCCGGGCCGCGGCUACGCCGUCGCGCACGAGUGCAGGCACCGUUUGGGCGAAAGGGAAUCCGGUUCCUAUUCCGGAACCCGGCAGCGGAACCGCUCCAAUUCGGGCCCUCAUCAGAGGACUCGUCGGGGUGACCCGAAAUGACCCGGAGAAGCCGUAGGGAGGUCCGGGGAGAGUUGUCUCUUCUCUAUAAGCGUUCGAGUUCCCUGGAAGCCUCUAGGAGGGAGAUAGGGUUUGGAACGCGAAGAGCACCGCACUUACGGCGGUGUCCGGAUCUUCCCCUCGGACCUUGAAAAUCCGGGCGAGGGCCACGGGGAACACCGCGCCGGCUCGUACCCAUAUCCGCAGCAGGUCUCCAAGGUGAAUAGCCUCUAGUCGAUAGAAUAAUGUAGGUAAGGGAAGUCGGCAAACCCGAUCUGUAACUUCGGGAUAAGGAUUGGCUCUGAGGAUCGUGGCGCGCCGGGCUUGGUCGGGAAGUGGAGCGGUGCCAACGUGCCGGGCCUGGGCGAGGCGAAAGGCGUUUUACGUCCGGACCCUAGCUCGGUCCCGUGCCUUGGCCACCCACGGAUCUUCCUUGCUGCGAGCC